rnacentral:lncRNA from 1 species
CAUCAAAUCUCAGCAAUAUCGUCAUUUAAGAUAAUAAGUUUUAGUCAUUUUAUGCAAGUUAAAGGACAGAUGGAUCAACAGAAAGUAGUGAAUUUUGAAAGAUAGUAAACAGCUGACUCAAGCCUGGUGGUACACCCCUCUGAUCCCAGUGACGCUAGAGGCUGAGGCAGGAGGAUCCCAGGUUUGAGGCCACCCUGGGAACCUUAGAGAAAAGUCACAGGGCUGGGACGUGGCUCGCGGUAGAGCACUCGCCUACCCAA